GAUGAACGCUGGCGGCGUGCCUAAUACAUGCAAGUCGAGCGAACAGACGAGGAGCUUGCUCCUCUGACGUUAGCGGCGGACGGGUGAGUAACACGUGGAUAACCUACCUAUAAGACUGGGAUAACUUCGGGAAACCGGAGCUAAUACCGGAUAACAUGUUGAACCGCAUGGUUCAACAGUGAAAGACGGUCUUGCUGUCACUUAUAGAUGGAUCCGCGCCGCAUUAGCUAGUUGGUAAGGUAACGGCUUACCAAGGCAACGAUGCGUAGCCGACCUGAGAGGGUGAUCGGCCACACUGGAACUGAGACACGGUCCAGACUCCUACGGGAGGCAGCAGUAGGGAAUCUUCCGCAAUGGGCGAAAGCCUGACGGAGCAACGCCGCGUGAGUGAUGAAGGUCUUCGGAUCGUAAAACUCUGUUAUUAGGGAAGAACAAAUGUGUAAGUAACUAUGCACGUCGUGACGGUACCUAAUCAGAAAGCCACGGCUAACUA
rnacentral:rRNA from 1 species